AGCCACUCCAUGAGGCGAUGCUGAUAGCCAAUGUUCGGAGCGGGGUCUGGCUCGGGGCAGGGUUUUCACAGGCAGGGCGAUUUUUUUCAAGGCUCCCGGGAAUGGUGUUCCCAUGGAGCGCUGCCCUGGAAUGUGGUGUGGAAGUGGACAGUCUGUCAAGAUGAGCAGAGCUCACUUGUUUUCUGCCUGGGAACAGGGAUCAUGGAGGUAAUGUCACCUCAGGGAGGAAAACAUCUGGACGUGAAGCGACAGAUGUAAUGGGAGCGAGGAAUGUGGAAAAGACCACUCCGUAGAGAAUUGCAGGCACUAAAUAGUGGCAAUUUUUCUUAAGGUACUGCUAAAUUUUUGGAGUUUAAAUGUAUUUGUAAAAAUAAUGAUUAAAAGAAGAAUAAAACUAAUAGUGGCAAAUA